UACAGAGGUCUCAAGCGUUGUUCGGAUUCAUUGGGCGUAAAGGGUGUGUAGGUGGCGCCGUAAGUCGGGUGUGAAAUUUCGGAGCUUAACUCCGAAACUGCAUUCGAUACUGCGGUGCUUGAGGACUGGAGAGGAGACUGGAAUUCAUGGUGUAGCAGUGAAAUGCGUAGAGAUCAUGAGGAACACCGGUGGCGAAGGCGGUUCUCUGGGCCUUACCUGACGCUGAGGAGCGAAAGCGUGGGGAGCGAACAGG
rnacentral:rRNA from 1 species